CGCCCGUCAAACUACGAGAGGUAAGUAUAUCUAAAACCGCAAAAUUAACCUGCAAAGUGGAAUAUGCGUCUAGGAUAGAUUUGCUGAUUGGAGUUAAGUCGUAACAAGGUACCCCUACGAGAACGUGGGGGUGGAUCACCUCCUUUCUUUGGAAUCGAUAAUUAAAUGACUUUUUAGUUGUUUAAUCUUUUGACAUUACAAUUUAAUAAAUAGUGUACUUUUUUUAACAAAUCUUGAUAAUUAUGGGUUAGUGAAUAGAUGAAAAUCUGAUUGAGCUAACUUUUUUAAUGUUUACAAACGUAAUAUUAAUGUUAUUGAGUCGGAUAGUCUUCAGAUUUGAGAAAGCUUUUGCGAUUCUCACGUGCUUGCUUUUUGACAACUGAAAACAGACAAUCUUUCUGAUCUAUAAUCAAAUAUUGUAAAAUGUUUGGUUUGUAGUGAUGAUUAAAACCGAGUAAUUAACUAAUUAAAAUUUUUAUUAGAUCAAUACAAACGUUAUAAAUUAAUAAGAGUUAGUGGUGGAUUUCUUGGGAAUGGAAGGCGAUGAAGGACGUGUUAAUCUGCGAUAAGUGUUGGGGAGCUGAUAAAAAGCGAUUGAUCCAGCAAUUUCCGAAUGGGGAAACCCAAUAGUCAGAGAUGACUAUUAUUAUUAACUGAAUACAUAGGUUAUUAAAGCGAUACCUUGCGAAGUGAAACAUCUCAGUAGCAAGAGGAAAAGAAAACGAAGUGAUUUCCUAAGUAGCGGCGAGCGAACCGGGAACAGGCCAAACCGAAAUUUAUUUCGGGGUUGUAGGACACCAGAACGGACUUAAAAUUGAUAGCAGAAGUUGUUGGGAAGCAACGCCAUAGCGGGUGAUAGCCCCGUAUGCGAAAUCUUUUUUAUACCAAGGUGGAUCCUGAGUAGGGCGGGGCACGUGGAAUCCUGUCUGAAUCUGCCCAGACCAUUGGGUAAGCCUAAAUACUAACCAUUCUCCGAUAGUGAACCA
rnacentral:sRNA from 1 species